AUGAACGCUGGCGGCGUGCCUAAUACAUGCAAGUCGAACGAGUUCUCGUUGAUGAUCGGUGCUUGCACCGAGAUUCAACAUGGAACGAGUGGCGGACGGGUGAGUAACACGUGGGUAACCUGCCCUUAAGUGGGGGAUAACAUUUGGAAACAGAUGCUAAUACCGCAUAGAUCCAAGAACCGCAUGGUUCUUGGCUGAAAGAUGGCGUAAGCUAUCGCUUUUGGAUGGACCCGCGGCGUAUUAGCUAGUUGGUGAGGUAAUGGCUCACCAAGGCGAUGAUAUGUAGCCGAACUGAGAGGUUGAUCGGCCACAUUGGGACUGAGACACGGCCCAAACUCCUACGGGAGGCAGCAGUAGGGAAUCUUCCACAAUGGACGCAAGUCUGAUGGAGCAACGCCGCGUGAGUGAAGAAGGCUUUCGGGUCGUAAAACUCUGUUGUUGGAGAAGAAUGGUCGGCAGAGUAACUGUUGUCGGCGUGACGGUAUCCAACCAGAAAGCCACGGCUAACUACGUGCCAGCAGCCGCGGUAAUACGUAGGUGGCAAGCGUUAUCCGGAUUUAUUGGGCGUAAAGCGAGCGCAGGCGGUUUUUUAAGUCUGAUGUGAAAGCCCUCGGCUUAACCGAGGAAGCGCAUCGGAAACUGGGAAACUUGAGUGCAGAAGAGGACAGUGGAACUCCAUGUGUAGCGGUGAAAUGCGUAGAUAUAUGGAAGAACACCAGUGGCGAAGGCGGCUGUCUGGUCUGUAACUGACGCUGAGGCUCGAAAGCAUGGGUAGCGAACAGGAUUAGAUACCCUGGUAGUCCAUGCCGUAAACGAUGAAUGCUAGGUGUUGGAGGGUUUCCGCCCUUCAGUGCCGCAGCUAACGCAUUAAGCAUUCCGCCUGGGGAGUACGACCGCAAGGUUGAAACUCAAAGGAAUUGACGGGGGCCCGCACAAGCGGUGGAGCAUGUGGUUUAAUUCGAAGCAACGCGAAGAACCUUACCAGGUCUUGACAUCUUUUGAUCACCUGAGAGAUCAGGUUUCCCCUUCGGGGGCAAAAUGACAGGUGGUGCAUGGUUGUCGUCAGCUCGUGUCGUGAGAUGUUGGGUUAAGUCCCGCAACGAGCGCAACCCUUAUGACUAGUUGCCAGCAUUUAGUUGGGCACUCUAGUAAGACUGCCGGUGACAAACCGGAGGAAGGUGGGGAUGACGUCAAAUCAUCAUGCCCCUUAUGACCUGGGCUACACACGUGCUACAAUGGAUGGUACAACGAGUUGCGAGACCGCGAGGUCAAGCUAAUCUCUUAAAGCCAUUCUCAGUUCGGACUGUAGGCUGCAACUCGCCUACACGAAGUCGGAAUCGCUAGUAAUCGCGGAUCAGCACGCCGCGGUGAAUACGUUCCCGGGCCUUGUACACACCGCCCGUCACACCAUGAGAGUUUGUAACACCCGAAGCCGGUGGCGUAACCCUUUUAGGGAGCGAGCCGUCUAAGGUGGGACAAAUGAUUAGGGUG
rnacentral:rRNA from 1 species